rnacentral:rRNA from 1 species
AGUGAACGCUGGCGGUAGGCCUAACACAUGCCAGUCGAACGGCAGCACAGUAAGAGCUUGCUCUUACGGGUGGCGAGUGGCGGACGGGUGAGGAAUACAUCGGAAUCUACUUUUUCGUGGGGGAUAACGUAGGGAAACUUACGCUAAUACCGCAUACGACCUACGGGUGAAAGCAGGGGAUAUUCGGACCUUGCGCGAUUGAAUGAGCCGAUGUCGGAUUAGCUAGUUGGCGGGGUAAAGGCCCACCACGGCGACGAUCCGUAGCUGGUCUGAGAGGAUGAUCAGCCACACUGGAACGGGGACACGGUCCAGACUCCUACGGGAGGCAGCAGUGGGGAAUAUUGGACAAUGGGCGCAAGCCUGAUCCAGCCAUACCGCGUGGGUGAAGAAGGCCUUCGGGUUGUAAAGCCCUUUUGUUGGGAAAGAAAAGCAGCAGGUUAAUACCCCGCUGUUCUGACGGUACCCAAAGAAUAAGCACCGGCUAACUUCGUG